UAAAGUCAUAUCCAUAUAGGUAACUGUCGAGAGCUACAACUGUAAUUUGUAAACAAUAAAUGUACAACAUUACAAUAAAUAUAUCAAUAAAAAAUAUUUACAUUUUUAUUUAAUUAAAGUUCUAUUUUUACCCAUAUAGCAGGUUUUUUUAAAUGAAAUUUGAGGAAGUGGGGCACAUCAAUACAAUCCUGCUUAGAGCAGCCAUUUGCCCAGCAGCGGCCUUGAUUGUACAGUACUGGUAAAACUUUUGGGGUUGGCAAGAAUUUAUUAUUUUUCAUUUAAAAAAUGGUGCCUACUUAAAUUGAGAUUUAGUUUUCUCUAGGUGCAGCAUUUUUGGCUCAAGUAAAUAAUGCAAGCAGAUGGUCUGUGUUUGAGGCAGUGGUGCAGAGAUUUCGGCAGUGUAUGUUGGAGCGUGCCGUGCCAGUGUGGUUGCUGGGGGUAAUGCUGUGAGGGCAAGCUCUGGGUAGAGUCAGUCUGCACCAGCAUAUUGUCCUCUCUGUUUCCUUCUUUCAGGAAUGGUCACUAUUAGCCGCCGUAUUGCAGGCAGAAAGACGGCUGUCUUGGCCACAAAUGUCUGGUACUUCCUGGCAUGGUAUGGCACAGCCGAGUUGUGUUUUCAUCAUGUUCUCCUUAUUGCUCACCUGACAAGGUCAUGUCCUGGUGAGGGUUAUCAGUUGUUUCACUUGGCCCUGCUGCUUAGACGUCUGCUAUAAUGACGCCAAAACACCAGGUGGAGUUUGUGUGGUGCUACCCUUCUACUCAGGAGGAGAUCUUGUGUGUGUGGCGCCACACUCUGCUGACGUGUCUGUGUGCAGAGGCACAAAUGCAAGUGGAGAAAAUGGUGCUUUCCAUAUUUUCAGAAUAACAGCUACAGAAUGGGAGAUGCAGUGACCCAGAGACUUGUGAGAGAAUAAAAUAACAUUGGUGCCACUGAAAUCAUAAACUUGAUUCUUAACUGGAUGUUUGCCAUCUUUUUGAAUUACACAAGCCCUUGAUUUUUUAAAAACAUCAAAAAUACUGACAUAUUAUACAAACAACUUCAGCACUAACAGUUUAUUACCCAUGCCACAAUUGGUUAAUGAAGAGGAAACAGACAGACUUCGAUCCACAAUUAAGUUCCUAGACUAUAAAUGUGUUUUAUGACUCAAAUUCUGAUGAGGACUGUUUUAGAUUAAAGUUUCGAUUAUGGACACAAAACAAAUCCAUGCACUUAAACAGUUUGACCAUGGGAAACUUUUUUUUAUUAUUAUUGUUAUUUAAACACAUAAGAUUGUAUUGUGUUGCAGAUUGAUGCAUCAGCAGUGUGUAAACUCUAUCUGACAUCCUGCCUUUAAAAACCAGAUAGGCCUUGAGAUAAAUAUCUUGCCCAGGCUUGGUUUUAACUUUGUUUCUCCUUGUGAUUCAGAACCGGAUACUAGGCUGUAUGUGCUGAUGUUGAUGUGAGAAAGCAACCUGCAGGCUGGGUGUGUGAUAUCCUCUGAUAAUGUCAUCUCUCAGUUGUGGAGCUGCUUGAGUAGAUGAUCAGAUUUCACAUACACCUAACUGUUCAAAAUUUUGCAGUCAGUACAGGGGACAUCAGAUGCAAAAUUGACUUUGAAUGUUUGUAUUUUAUGCUGAAGAUGCAGUGAAUUGUUUUUGAAGGGAAUCACCCAAGAUAUUUGUACAAAAGUUUAAUUUUUUAAUUUUUAUUUUUUUUAUAUGGAAAAGAGUCAAUAAAAAAAAACAUUAUUAAUUUAUUUAUUAAACUUCAUUAAAAAGUUUUGUGGAUUUAUUGUAAUUGGUGAC